GCGUAGGGUACGUAGGUGGAUAGUUCAAUAUAUAGUUAAAGACUGAGGAAGACCCUCUUUUACUCUAUGUUUACUGACUAUCUGAGUUCUAUAGGUGAUGAUUUGAAUUCCUUAAGUAAGGGUUAAAUUGUUGAUAUUGGAAGACAUUCGAAGGCGGAAGCUAACAUCAAUGUAGAUCUGACACUAGGUACUAAAGUAUGGGGAUAAAGAGGAUUAGAGACCUUGUAGUCCAUACCUUAAACUAUGAGUAUUCAACGUCCUUGUGCAUUUCAAUCUUCGUAUUAACAUGAUAGGAUUGUCGGAGCAUGAGGGGGUUUAAAGCUAACGCGUGAAAUACCGCCUGGGGAAUGUGGCCGCAAGGUUAAACUCAAAGGAAUUGACGGAGGCUUGUACAAGG
rnacentral:rRNA from 1 species